rnacentral:rRNA from 1 species
GAUCAUGGCUCAGGAUGAACGCUGACAGAAUGCUUAACACAUGCAAGUCUACUUGAACUUCGGUUUGGGUGGCGGACGGGUGAGUAACGCGUAAGAACUUGCUCACAGUUAGGGACAACAUUUGGAAACGAAUGCGUAAUACCUGAUAUUAUGAUUUUAGGGCAUCCUAAGAUUAUGAAAGCGUAUAUGCGCUGUGAGAGAGCUUUGCGUCCCAUUAGCUAGUUGGAGAGGG